UGGGGAAUUUUGGACAAUGGGCGCAAGCCUGAUCCAGCCAUACCGCGUGAGUGAAGAAGGCCUUCGGGUUGUAAAGCUCUUUUGUCAGGGAAGAAACGGUAGUAGCGAAUAACUAUUACUAAUGACGGUACCUGAAGAAUAAGCACCGGCUAACUACGUGCCAGCAGCCGCGGUAAUACGUAGGGUGCAAGCGUUAAUCGGAAUUACUGGGCGUAAAGCGUGCGCAGGCGGUUGUGUAAGUCAGAUGUGAAAUCCCCGGGCUCAACCUGGGAAUUGCAUUUGAGACUGCACGGCUAGAGUGUGUCAGAGGGGGGUAGAAUUCCACGUGUAGCAGUGAAAUGCGUAGAUAUGUGGAGGAAUACCGAUGGCGAAGGCAGCCCCCUGGGAUAACACUGACGCUCAUGCACGAAAGCGUGGGGAGCAAACAGGAUUAGAUACCCUCGUAGUCCCUGAGCGGGCUGGCAAGGCGCAU
rnacentral:rRNA from 1 species